ACCGGGCACAGUGGCUCAUGCCUGUAAUCCCAGCACUUUGGGAGGCCGAGGCAGGCAGAUCAGGAGGUCAAGAGAUCAAGACCAUUCUGGCCAACAUGGUGAAACCCCGUCUCUACUAAAACUACAAAACUUAGCUGGGUGUGGAGGCACGUACGUGUAGUGGGAGGCUGAGGUGGGACAAUCGCUCGAAUGCAGGAGAAUCACUUGAACUUGGGAGGUGGAGGUUGCAAUGAGCCGAGAUCACACCACUGCAUUCCAGCCUGGCAAUAGAGUGAGACUCCAUCUCGAGAGAGAGGGAGAGAGAGAGAGAGAGAGAGAGAGAGAGAGAGAGAGAGAGAGAGAUUGGGUGUCUGCACUAAGUUUGGCAUCAAUAUGGUGAUGUCCCGGGAGAGGGGAACCACCAGGUUGCCUAAGGAGAGGUGAACCGGCCCAGGUCAGAAAUGGAGCAGGUCAAAACUCUGGUACUGAUCAGUAGUGGGAUCAUGCCUGUGAAUAGCCACUGCACUCCAGCCUGGGCAACAUAGUGAGACCCUGUCUCUA
rnacentral:SRP_RNA from 1 species